rnacentral:rRNA from 1 species
UGGGGAAUUUUGGACAAUGGGCGAAAGCCUGAUCCAGCAAUGCCGCGUGUGUGAAGAAGGCCUUCGGGUUGUAAAGCACUUUUGUCCGGAAAGAAAUCCUUGGCUCUAAUACAGUCGGGGGGAUGACGGUACCGGAAGAAUAAGCACCGGCUAACUACGUGCCAGCAGCCGCGGUAAUACGUAGGGUGCAAGCGUUAAUCGGAAUUACUGGGCGUAAAGCGUGCGCAGGCGGUUUGCUAAGACCGAUGUGAAAUCCCCGGGCUCAACCUGGGAACUGCAUUGGUGACUGGCAGGCUAGAGUAUGGCAGAGGGGGGUAGAAUUCCACGUGUAGCAGUGAAAUGCGUAGAGAUGUGGAGGAAUACCGAUGGCGAAGGCAGCCCCCUGGGCCAAUACUGACGCUCAUGCACGAAAG